GUUGUCCGGAUUUACUGGGUGUAAAGGGCGCGCAGGUGGGCUUGAUAGUUAGAGGUGAAAUCCUGUGGCUUAACUGCAGAACUGCCUUUAAUACUUCAAGUCUUGAGUGCGGAAGAGAGAGACGGAAUUCCAGGUGUAGUAGUGAAAUACGUAGAUAUCUGGAAGAACACCAGUUGCGAAGGCGGUCUCUUGGUCCGUAACUGACACUUAGGCGCGAAAGCGUGGGGAGCAAACAGGAUUAGAUACCCUGGUAGUCCACGCUGUAAACGAUGAAUACUUGGUGUUGGUCCCCUGCAGUGCCGAAGCUAACGCAUUAAGUAUUCCACCUGGGGAGUACGAUCGCAAGGUUGAAACUCAAAGGAAUUGACGGGGGCCCGCACAAGCAGUGGAGCAUGUGGUUUAAUUCGAUGCAACGCGAAGAACCUUACCUAGGCUUGAAAAGCAAGUGACAGGUUGUGAAAGCAGCCCUCCCGCAAGGGCACUUGUACAGGUGCUGCAUGGUUGUCGUCAGCUCGUGUCGUGAGAUGUUGGGUUAAGUCCCGCAACGAGCGCAACCCUUAUCUUUAGUAGCCAGCACGUAACGGUGGGAACUCUAGAGAGACUGCCGAGGAUAACUCGGAGGAAGGUGGGGAUGACGUCAAAUCAUCAUGCCCCUUAUGAUCUGGGCUACACACGUGCUACAAUGGCGAUAACAAAGGGAAGCAAAAGGGUGACCUCUAGCAAACCCCAGAAAAGUCGUCCCAGUUCGGAUUGUAGUCUGCAACUCGACUACAUGAAGUUGGAAUCGCUAGUAAUCGCGAAUCAGAAUGUCGCGGUGAAUACGUUCCCGGGUCUUGUACACACCGCCCGUCACACCAUGGGAGUUGGAAGCGCCCGAAGCCAGUGACUCAACCGCAAGGAGAGAGCUGUCGAAGGUGAAGCCAAUGACUGGGGUGAAGUCGUAACAAGGUAACCA
rnacentral:rRNA from 1 species